GACGAACGCUGGCGGCGUGCUUAACACAUGCAAGUCGAACGACGAAGCUGGAGCUUGCUCCGGUGGAUUAGUGGCGAACGGGUGAGUAACACGUGAGCAAUCUGCCCUUGACUCUGGGAUAACUGCGGGAAACUGUAGCUAAUACCGGAUAUGAGAUCUGAAGGCAUCCUCGGGUUUGGAAAGAAUUUCGGUCAAGGAUGAGCCCGCGGCCUAUCAGCUAGUUGGUGAGGUAAUGGCUCACCAAGGCGACGACGGGUAGCCGGCCUGAGAGGGUGACCGGCCACACUGGAACUGAGACACGGUCCAGACUCCUACGGGAGGCAGCAGUGGGGAAUAUUGCACAAUGGGCGAAAGCCUGAUGCAGCAACGCCGCGUGAGGGAUGAAGGCCUUCGGGUUGUAAACCUCUUUUAGCAGGGAAGAAGCGAAAGUGACGGUACCUGCAGAAAAAGCACCGGCUAACUACGUGCCAGCCGCCGCUGUAA
rnacentral:rRNA from 1 species